CGUGUACCAGUGGGGUCCCUCAGCCUGGUCUGCGCCCUCUUGCAAUCCAGCACCCCUCAGGGGAUGUCAGAAAGAGGUUUUGGCCUAAUCCCACAGGCCAGGCUGAGGGACCCCACUGGUGCAUG
rnacentral:pre_miRNA from 1 species